rnacentral:rRNA from 1 species
CAGUAGCCGCGGUAAUACGUAGGGUGCAAGCGUUAAUCGGAAUUACUGGGCGUAAAGCGUGCGCAGGCGGUUAUAUAAGACAGAUGUGAAAUCCCCGGGCUCAACCUGGGAACUGCAUUUGUGACUGUAUAGCUAGAGUACGGCAGAGGGGGAUGGAAUUCCGCGUGUAGCAGUGAAAUGCGUAGAUAUGCGGAGGAACACCGAUGGCGAAAGCACUCUGCUGGGCCGACACUGACACUGAGAGACGAAAGCUAGGGGAGCAAAUGGGAUUAGAUACCCCGGUAGUCCCUGUCUCUUAUAU